rnacentral:misc_RNA from 1 species
UGCUUAAAAUGUGGUUGGUGAAUGGAAUCUUGAGUUGAAAGCAUCAGCGAAACAGAUCUUGGAAGAGUUCUUUCACACAAGGAUCUUCCAACCAUCAACAACAGAACUUUUUGUCAUGCAGAAGAAUUAAAAAGGGUUUCUAUUUAAAGGCAAUAUAUAAAGCAGUCCCAAUUUUCUUUUUCUCAAACGUAAUAUCAUUGACAACAGGUAAAAAAAUUGCCAUCAACAUAAAACUAUAAAUUUAAAGCAAAAUAGAAAAAACAGGCAA